GUCUUUUUGAGUUAUUUUUAAAGUCUGGCCUGCCCGCUGAAUUUUUGAAUGGCCGCAGUAUUUUAACUGUGCAAAGGUAGCAUAAUCAUUAGUCUUUUAAUUGAAGGCUGGUAUGAACGGUUGGACGAGGUAUAAGCUGUUUCAUGUAAAUUUACAGUAGAAUUUUAUAUUUUAGUUAAAAAGCUAAAAUGAGGUUAAAAGACGAGAAGACCCUAUAAAUCUUUAUAUUUUAUAUAGUUUAAAUUUUUUUGGUUUUUUUUAUUUUUAUUAUAUAGGAUAUUUUGUUGGGGUGAUGUUAAAAUUUGAUUAACUUUUAAUUUUUUUAAAUCAUUAAUUUAUGAGUUAUUGAUCCGUUAAUAGCGAUUAUAAGAUUAAGUUACUUUAGGGAUAACAGCGUAAUUUUUUUGGAGAGUUCAUAUCGAUAAAAAAGUUUGCGACCUCGAUGUUGGAUUAAGAUAUAGUUUUAGGUGUAGCCGCUUAAAGGUUAAGUCUGUUCGACUUUUAAAUUCUU
rnacentral:rRNA from 1 species